CUUGCAUAUCAGGACCCUCUGUGGCAUUUCCAGGUUUAACUGGAAAUCUGGGUUUUUUUCUCUUAAUUGCUUAAAAAUGCACAGGUCCACUGAUAAGUGAAUCAGAGCCACAGAACUGAGGACUGGGAGGAGAUCUUCAGGGCAAUCCUACCUGCAAGGACCAUGAGGCUCCAAAUCCAGAUACACACAGAG
rnacentral:lncRNA from 1 species